GGGUGACUGCGUACCUUUUGUAUAAUGGGUCAGCGACUUAUAUUCUGUAGCAAGGUUAACCGUAUAGGGGAGCCGCAGGGAAACCGAGUCUUAACUGGGCGUUAAGUUGCAGGGUAUAGACCCGAAACCCGGUGAUCUAGCCAUGGGCAGGUUGAAGGUUGGGUAACACUAACUGGAGGACCGAACCGACUAAUGUUGAAAAAUUAGCGGAUGACUUGUGGCUGGGGGUGAAAGGCCAAUCAAACCGGGAGAUAGCUGGUUCUCCCCGAAAGCUAUUUAGGUAGCGCCUCGUGAAUUCAUCUUCGGGGGUAGAGCACUGUUUCGGCUAGGGGGUCAUCCCGACUUACCAACCCGAUGCAAACUACGAAUACCGAAGAAUGUUAUCACGGGAGACACACGGCGGGUGCUAACGUCCGUCGUGAAGAGGGAAACAACCCAGACCGCCAGCUAAGGUCCCAAAGUCAUGGUUAAGUGGGAAACGAUGUGGGAAGGCCCAGACAGCCAGGAUGUUGGCUUAGAAGCAGCCAUCAUUUAAAGAAAGCGUAAUAGCUCACUGGUCGAGUCGGCCUGCGCGGAAGAUGUAACGGGGCUAAACCAUGCACCGAAGCUGCGGCAGCGACACUAUGUGUUGUUGGGUAGGGGAGCGUUCUGUAAGCCGUUGAAGGUGGCCUGUGAGGGUUGCUGGAGGUAUCAGAAGUGCGAAUGCUGACAUAAGUAACGAUAAUGCGGGUGAAAAACCCGCACGCCGGAAGACCAAGGGUUCCUGUCCAACGUUAAUCGGGGCAGGGUGAGUCGACCCCUAAGGCGAGGCCGAAAGGCGUAGUCGAUGGGAAACAGGUUAAUAUUCCUGUACUUGGUGUUACUGCGAAGGGGGGACGGAGAAGGCUAUGUUGGCCGGGCGACGGUUGUCCCGGUUUAAGCAUGUAGGCGGAUGUUCCAGGUAAAUCCGGAACGUUACUAACGCUGAGGUGUGAUGACGAGGCACUACGGUGCUGAAGUGACAAAUGCCCUGCUUCCAGGAAAAGCCUCUAAGCAUCAGGUAACAUCAAAUCGUACCCCAAACCGACACAGGUGGUCAGGUAGAGAAUACCAAGGCGCUUGAGAGAACUCGGGUGAAGGAACUAGGCAAAAUGGUGCCGUAACUUCGGGAGAAGGCACGCUGAUGGUA
rnacentral:rRNA from 1 species